GACAGAGUUUGCUAUAUCCCUCCUCCAAACCUUGGUUGUGGAUGAAUCGAGUGUAAUUUCAGAACUUCACAAUUUUGUUGAUGAAUUAGCUAAGGUUGCUGCAAAACCUGGAUCUUUCAAGCCUUUACAGCAUCUAGUUGAGAUAAUCAAGAAUCCUGCUACUAGUAUAUAUCAGCGGUUAAGUUUUAUUAAAGCCAAGAGCAAAAGUAUCAUUGGAAGAUAUGGCUGCUAUUGUAGAUAUUGGGUUAGAAUUGUCUCACACGUCACAAGACAAGUUGCAUGCACAGGUGCUAAUAUUUACAUUUGAAAUGUUAGAAUUGCUCUACUAAUAGUGACACUACCAAUAAUUAUACUAAUGAUUUUGAAUGCAAUAUUUGCUUUGAGUUAGCUCAAGACCCAAUUAUUAUUCUUUGUUGUCAUCUCUUUUGAUGGUCUUGUUUAUAUAGAAGGUUGCAUCAUCACUCACAAUGUUAAGAAUAUCUUGUUUGCAUUCAACACCUUUCAUGGAGGUCAUGGUUGUCACCAUUUUUGCAACCCUCAACUCUAGGUCAGCAUGCUGAUAAGGUACUAAAAAACCUUCAGUUAGGUCAGCAUGGUCAAAUUGUUUUAUUGUUGUCUUUAUAAUUCUUGCCUUGUUCUGGUGGUGAAAGAUAAAUGUUUGACACCAAUGAAAAUUGCACAAGUGUAGAAAUUUUCAUUUAGAGCUUAUGAAGUAGGUUAGCUGACACUGUACUGAUCAUAUAUAGUGUUAUUUGCCUUUUGUGUAAAACACGUACUUUAUGUUAAUUUCCUAUAUUCCUAAAUUCUCAUCACAUCUUAGUUCCCUAUAAAGAUGCUCAUUACUUAAUCUUCUAUAUUAAUUAUGAUCCAUGUUAAUUUAAACAAGUUGAUCCUUGAUGAGAUUUCUGUUUACCCAUUUGUUUCAACUCAGAUUGUGUGAGUGAUAUGUAGCUAAAUAUAUGAUCUGAUUUCUUUAAUAAUAUUAAUUUUUACCAAAUAAGAAAUUGUAGGAAUUUAUGUUUCCUGGCCAGGGGUUUUGUUUUUCUUAACAAGUAGUGAAGUAUAUAAACUAUCGAGGUCUAGUGCUAUGCAUGCUCGAUAGACUAUUAUUAUAUUUUAAUGUGCCGAUUGCCAAAUAUAUGAGCUUUAUACUAAUCUUUAGAGUUUAUCAU